CGUCGCCGUAGCCGUAGGCGAAGUGGCGCGUCCCGUCGGCGGUGACCUCGUAGUUGUGCGGCGGGUUGUACUGCGGGUUCGGCACCCCGAGGCGACGGC
rnacentral:tRNA from 1 species